rnacentral:tRNA from 1 species
GCGCGCUUAGCUCAGCGGUAGAGCGACUCGUUUACACCGAGUAGGUCGGGGGUUCGACACCCUCAGCGCGCACCA